AUGAAAAAGAAGAAAAUUAAUUGCAUGUAUAGACGUACAUUUCAAGUUAUAUUAUCAACCUCAUUUAUAUAUAUGAUAAAUCAAACAGCAGUACAUUGAUAUAAUACGGAAAGUUUCAUGAAUUUAUAAGAAUCCUUAUAUUUAUUUAAAAACUCUAACCUAGAAUAAACAGCCUAAGUCUGACGUCACAGAGACGGGCGGAGCUUAUACCGACUUUUCGUGGUUUAUGUGAUAAAAUAAGUCUUUUCAGUUGAAUAUUUUGUUGAAGGAACGUACUAUUUAAGAGGUUUUUAUCAGUUUUUCCCUAGUACCUUUUUGUUUGUUUGGACUUUGACUCUGAUUUUCAGGUAAUCAGAGGGGAAGUAUUUGCUAGUAUGAAAAGCAAAAGCUACAAGGUAUCUAUAGUGUUGGCAUUAAAGAAGCCACCUGUACUUGUCCCAGGGGUAUAAAAUGCCAUCACAUUGCGGCGUUGGCACUUUUUGGGCAUUACAAUAUAUCUGUAACAGAUAAAGCGUGUGCAUGGAAGGCACUACCUAAACCGAAGGUUGGGCCAGUGAAAUCUGCAGAAGAGCUUUAUCCACCAAAGCUCUAUAUCUCUUGAGGUGGGGUACCAGAAUCAUCAAUCAACAGAACGGCUACACAGCUUUGGAAAUACUGUUGGUUUUACCUGACUAUUAAACAAGGAAUCAAUAAAUUUGGUGGAAAAUGGAUUUCUGGUAAUUGAAGAAAUAAUUUCUUCUAAGGACUUUUUGGAGGCCACAGAUAAACUAACUGUGUUGCUGAUCAGCUAAUAAAAGAAAUCUUUAUCACCACCAUUGGCCAGGUGACAAAUGAAAAAUGGUACCUUGCAAGAAAAUUUAGAUUAACUAUUAGCAACUUUAGGAGAAACAGAUUCCCAAUGAGUUUGUUCAACACGCUCUUAGGUGAAUACAAUUUGGAUGGUAUCAAAGCAAUCUAGUGGAUGUAAAACUCAUGAAAAAGAUGCUCUAGAUCAUUUGAAGCAGAUUUAUAAUUUAAAUGUUCGACCAACUGGAGUAUAGCUUACAAAUUCAGGACUUCUUGGUGCUAGACCUGAUGGAAUAAUUGAUGAAGAAGAAGCCAUUGUAGAAGUGAAAUGAAUAUUCUUUCAGAAAUGAUCAGUUGUCCGAAAAAUUGAGGAAUUUUAAUAAAUAUAUAGUUUUUUAUGACGAUGAGGGUAACUUGAUCUUAAAUACAAGUCACAAUUAUUAUCACCAAAUUCAAGGAGCUUUACAUAUUUUAAAAAACAAAAAAUGUUACUUAUGUAUUUAUACCUUGAAGGAAAGUUGUUAGACAAUUAAAUAAAAAUUUUUGACAUGUUUUUCAAUGUGAUUUUAGGUUAUUCUACAGUGUUAGCUGAUAUAGUAUACAGUUGGAAAAAUCUUUACUAUUUAUUUUAGACUGAAAAGCCACUCUAUACAAAUUUUUGUUUGCUGAGGAUAUCAGAAAAUUAUGUUUUUUUAAUAUAAAUGCACAAUGCCAUUUUGUCAAUAAAGAUUUUUGAAACAAAGUUUAGCUAUUUUAAAUUGCUGUAUUGAAUACACUAUAGUUGAGUGAUUUUUUUUCUGUACACAAAACUUGUAAAAUGAACUAAAACACUGCUUGUGGCUUAAUAAUUUAUUUGAUGAUUGUAAAGACUGUAGUCUACUGAUAAGAAAUCAAAUUGUAUUUGUUCACUUUAUGAAAAUUGUGGUUGGAUUUACAGGCUUUUAUUAGAUUAGAAAAACAGUAUUAUUACUUUUAACAAUAAUUGUAUUAUAUCGAGUCAUUUAUAAAUUAAGUAAAAUCUAAAUAUACAUUUUUAAAAUAAAAA